UUGAUAAGUCAGAUGUGAAAUCCCCGGGCUUAACCUGGGAACUGCAUCUGAAACUGUUAGGCUAGAGUAGGUGAGAGGGAAGUAGAAUUUCAGGUGUAGCGGUGAAAUGCGUAGAGAUCUGAAGGAAUACCGAUGGCGAAGGCAGCUUCCUGGCAUCAUACUGACACUGAGGCUCGAAAGCGUGGGUAGCAAACAGGAUUAGAUACCCUGGUAGUCCACGCCGUAAACGAUGUCUACUAGUCGUUGGGUCCCUUGAGGACUUAGUGACGCAGCUAACGCAAUAAGUAGACCGCCUGGGGAGUACGGCCGCAAGGUUAAAACUCAAAUGAAUUGACGG
rnacentral:rRNA from 1 species